CUCUUACUUCCUGCUCUGCCUCUGGCGACUAGACUCCCUUCCUGAUUGCACAGAGGGCUGUUGUCUGGGACAGUAAUCUAUCCCUCUGGCAGUCCUACUGAUAUCAGGCUCAUCCACCCGGACCUGAUUGAAAGUUCUGGGAUUAAAGGUGUGUGUCACCUGGACCAGCCACGUUUCCUGAUUUAAAAGAGUGUCUACACACCUGUCAUCGGAGAUUUCAGGGUCAGAGGCUGGGCCCUUGCAGCUAUAAUGAACCAGAUUCAGCCAUCCAUACUCAACAGGCCACUUAAGUCGACAUAGUGGAAAAGACUGAGAAAGGGAUUUAUUCUAUGUGACCACAUUGGGAAGAGGAACAAAGCAGUCGAGUGGCAUAUGCCCUCCCCACCCCCAGCCUCCAGUUCAUCUUCAGGGUCCUGACAAGAAGCUGAAGUGCAGAGGGCAAGAGGAAUGCAUGUCUAGGAAAGAUCCUGGCUGUCGCUGACCCAUCAUCCUCUUGACAACAGCCUCUACUGCAAGACUCUGGGAUCUUUGACCGUCAUCGCCAACUUGGCUAGAUGUAAAAUCACCCAGGAAACAGACCUGUGAGUAUGUCUGUGAGGAUGUUUCCAGACAUGUUUAGCCGAGGGAAGAGCCCUCCCUACUGUACCUGCUACACAUCUGCAGCACUAUCCCACGACCUGGGAGCUGGGAAUGAAGAAAAGGCAGGAAAGGAGAAAGUCAGAUGAGCACCGGCAUUCAGCUCUCUGCUUCUGGACUGGGGACGUCAUGGGAUCAGCAGCUUCAGGUUCUCGCAUGACACCUUCCUCUCCAGGACGGACUGACUGUACUCAUUUGUACGUGGUGAGCCUAAAUAAACCCUUCCUAAAAUGGG